rnacentral:tRNA from 1 species
GGUUGUGGCUCAGUGGUAGAGCGCUUGUCUAGCAUGUGUGAGGCCCUGGUUUGAUUCUUGGCACCA